rnacentral:misc_RNA from 1 species
GUUCCUUGGAGAUGGUUUUACACAAAAAGCUUUCUACUUGCUGUAUAUCUCAUGAGUUCUAUAAAGUUGCUACGAACAACCCCAACAAGAUUGCAGUCAUUCAAGCUUGUGGGGGUCUCAAAAUCGCCAAAGAAUUUCGACUUUCUUGCAGUGAAAAUGGCGACCAAGACAACCGGGAGAAGUUUCAAGAGUUUGUUUCUUCUAAAAUGAAGUCGGUUAAUCCCCCGAUAUACGAAGGUGAUCAGUGCUUCACGUUUUCCGAGAUAUUGUCCGCCGUUGAUUCUCUUAGUUCACGGCUCCGAUGCAUUCUUGAUGGUGGUGAUGACCCCAAUCUAAUAAAUUCCUCUGCAGUUAAUAUUCAUCAAACUGCAAACGACUGCAGUUCCAAGGACCAGUUACUUCUGGGGUCUUCUGAUCGAGGUUUGGAGCAGUAUACACAGUU